UUCAGGUGGACAUGACGGGCAUGCUAUCUUACUCUGUUGUUUGCCUUAACCUUGGCGAACCGAGUAUAUCUGCCUAAUAGGAUCCCUCUAUAGCCUACUCGACUCGAAGGUGUACUCCCAUAGAUGUGACAGAAGAUGCAAGCAAACAGUAGCAUCACCAGAGGAAGUGGAGAGAAUGGAACGUCUCAACACGUGACCACAGUACACCAACCUCAAAACCGGAACACACCAGAUCAAUCUCAAGAUACAUUCAUACUGAACCAGACAGGAAAGCAUGUAGUUAUGCAAGGGAUACUGGGAAAUUCGAAAAGCUUUGGAUUGCUUGUUGGUGGCAAUAUGUCCCCUGGCAUAUUGAAUGAUGCCUGCAGUGGAUACACUGAAGUUGAGCAGGCCUUUGAUUACUGGAUGACGGGUCUCGAUCAUGUCAGUAAUGACAAAACAGGAGAUGCUGGUCAGGAGUUCAGUCAUGAGGUACAAAAAAAUCUUGUCGGUCAGGAACCACCUCCAGUCAAGCAGGAGACAAAAAUAUUGACUCAUACCUCCAAAGCUGGAUUGUCAACUCAAGCUGGAUACUGUGUGAGGAAUCCUCAGUGGAAAUGUGAUUCUACUGAAAAGGAAAAUGAGAAGUUGGAGGGCUCUGGUUUGUCAGGUGAUCCAUUUGUUAAUAGGAAAGGGAGUUUGAUUGGAAAUGCUUGUCAUCAAGGAAAUGACAAAUAUUAUAAACACGAGAAUCUGGAUUUGAAAGAUUUGCCACAUUCCACACCUCUUGAAAACCACCGUGUUUUUUGUGCUUCCCAUAUAGAGAUGGAAAGUAGAGAAUUAAAACGUAAACCUCAGGAUAUCAAAGGGGAAGAUGCAUUUUGGUCAGAGGGUGAGAGUUUACCACAGUUUGAUGUAUGGAGGGAGAGUCUGAAAGAAAGUGAUUGCCAACAUACUAGUAAUGAGGAUAUUAAACCGGAUUGUUUGGAUUCAAAAGAAUUGUUCAAAGCCAUGCCUGCUGAAAACCACCAUAGUCCCCAGGUAAAGAUGGAAGGUCAGAAAUUAAAAUUUGAACCUCAGGAUAUAAAAAAGGAAGAUGGGUUUUGGUCAGAGGGUAUGGGUUUACCACAGUUUGAUUUAUGGAGGGAGAGUCUGAAAAAAGGUGAUUGCAACAUACUGUAAUGAGGAUAUUAAACCGGGUUGUUUGGAUUCAAAAGAAUUGUUCAAAGCCAUGCCUGCUGAAAACGACCAUGGUCCCCAGGUAACGAUGGAAGGUCAAAAAUUAAAAUUUGAACCUCAGGAUAUAAAAAAGGAAGAUGGGUUUUGCUCAGAGGGUAUGGGUUUACCACAGUUUGAUUUAUGGAGGGAGAGUCUGAAAAAAGGUGAUUGCCAACAUACUAGUAAUGAGGAUAUUAAACCGGAUUGUUUGGAUUCAAAGGAAUUGUUCAAAGCCAUGUCUGCUGAAAACCAUCAUAGUCCCCAGGUAAAGAUGGAAGGUCAAAAAUUAAAAUUUGAACCUCAGGAUAUAAAAAAGGGAGAUGGGUUUUGUUCAGAGGGUAUGGGUUUAUCACAAGACCAGUUUCACACAUGGAGGGAGAGUUUUAAAGACGUUCACCAACAUAUCGAUAAACUCAGUUCUGCAGAUUCAAAAGAGUUGUUGGAAUCCCUGCCUUUUGUAAAUUGCAGUAUUUCUCAGGUAAAGAUGGAAAGUCAAGAAUUAAAAUGUGAACCUCAAAAUAACUGUGAGCAAGAUGUAAUUUGGUCAAAGGGUGUGGAGUUUUCACAAAACCAGUUUAAUGCAAGUUUUGAAAGUGAAGUUCACCAGCAUGCAAGCGACAAAGUUGCGAAAACUGCUUACCUAAAGAAGCCCAUUUGUGUUUCUCAGAUAAAAAUUGAAAAUAAAAAAAUAAAAUGUGAACCUCGGGACAUGGAAGAGGGCGAAGUCAUGUUGUCUGAGGCUUUGGGGCAUAUUAAAAAUGAACGGCAGGAAGUGAACAAAGCUGAAAGGGAGAAUAUUCAUAAAUCAGGAAAGAGGUUUGUGAAAACCCAAAUCAGACUGGAGUCUUCUCAGAUGGAGAUUGAUCAUCAUUUUGUGAGGAAACAGGAGAAGGCUGUAAAGCCAGAUUCAAGAAAUCUAGAAAUCUCCCCAGGACUAAGAAAUGAUUUACAAAAUACGUUUCAUGUAAAACACGAAAGGGAAGUGAAUGCCGAGUGUCUUGGGGUGAAAAAAGAGGAUCCUGUUUGGACUGUAAAUUCUAUAAAGCAGGAAAUCUAUACCGAUGGGAGGUCUGACUGCAGGGUUUCUGUGGAUCCCAUUUGGGCUUCCCAUAGUUUGCAGACUCAGUCGAAGAUUGCCAACACAGAUAAUAUAUGCAAUGACAAAAAAAGCUUUCCUAAAAAUGUGCCAGAGUGCACCAAAUCUGUGGACUUUAAAGCUGAAUCAUAUUUGAAAGAUGAGGAUCCCAAUUGGGCUUUUCAUUGCUUUUCAAGAAG